rnacentral:rRNA from 1 species
GCCAGCCCGCUCAAGAACUCAAAGGAAUUGACGGGACCCGCACAAGUGGUGGAGCAUGUGGUUUAAUUCGAAGAUACACGAAAACCUUACCUACCCUUGACAUGCCAGGAACUUUCCAGAGAUGGAUUGGUGCCCGAAAGGGAGCCUGGACACAGGUGCUGCAUGGCUGUCGUCAGCUCGUGUCGUGAGAUGUUGGGUUAAGUCCCGCAACGAGCGCAACCCUUGUCAUUAAUUGCCAUCAUUCAGUUGGGCACUUUAAUGAGACUGCCGGUGACAAACCGGAGGAAGGUGGGGAUGACGUCAAGUCCUCAUGGCCCUUAUGGGUAGGGCUUCACACGUCAUACAAUGGUCGGUACAGAGGGUUGCCAAGCCGCGAGGUGGAGCCAAUCCCAGAAAGCCGAUCGUAGUCCGGAUCGCAGUCUGCAACUCGACUGCGUGAAGUCGGAAUCGCUAGUAAUCGCGGAUCAGCAUGUCGCGGUGAAUACGUUCCCGGGUCUU